GAAGAUCACUUCUCUAGCAGUAUGAAGGAUGGACCGGAAGGGGAAAGAUUGAAGGCAGAGACCAGUGUAGUCAUUAUUACUGUAGCUGAAGUGGAAAAUGAUGAAGCACUCUGCUGCUGCAACUGGAGACUGGAGAAAAAGACUGGUGUGUUGCAGCUACAUCAAGCCAUGUUGGGACUGCCAACCUUCCCAAAAUGAAAUGCAGAACUUGAGAGCAGCUGUUUGCCUAAAACCUGAUAGAUAAUUCAAGGUGAUACUAUUUUCUGAGGUGGUCCUAAAAAGGAGGAAAAAAAAAGAAGAAGAGUAGAACAGUUGAAUAAGAAGUGUGAAGUGCAAGAUAGAAGAUUAAGGAAGCCCUCUUUGAAGAAGAGAUCAAUGAAUUCAGCUGAGAAUUUUGUACCCACCAUGUGCCAGACAUAGUGCUAGGUUCUGGAGGAGACACAACUAUGGAUAAGAUGAGCUUUCUGCCUGAUGAAGUUCAUAGGCUUUCUCCAACUCCAAGUGGGUGAGGACAAAAAGAUGCAGAGAAAAGAUUUUACAUGUGUGUAGAAUGAUCCCUAUAAUUUUCUGGGAAGAUGAACUAAGAUGCACUCCAUACCAAAUGGGUCUAACUGAAUUUCCUACACUAGCUUUUUUUUUUCUUUCACUUUUUACUUUCAAAUUUUCUUUGCCACCUUCGAAAAAGUCAUCUAUAUCCCUCUCUUCUCCUCCCUCUUGUCUUUCCAAUGACAAAUAAUAUGGGCCAGGGCAUGGUCGGAAAUAGAGUCUAUUAAAGAAUAGUAUUUUAUAAUUAUACAGUGUUUGAAAUGCUUGGGAUAUUUUAGAAUAUCUCUUUCUAUAGACUUCAAGAACUAUGAAGAAAAGGGGAACCUGAAU
rnacentral:lncRNA from 10 species